AUUGAACGCUGGCGGCAGGCCUAACACAUGCAAGUCGAACGAGUGGCGGACGGGUGCGUAAUGUCUGGGAAACUGCCUGAUGGAGGGGGAUAACUACUGGCAACGGUAGCUAAUACCGCAUACCAUCAGAUGUGCCCAGAUGGGAUUAGCUAGUAGGGAGGGUAAUGGCUCACCUAGGCGACGAUCCCUAGCUGGUCGGAGAGGAUGACCACGCACACUUGAACUUAGACACGGUCCAGACUGCUACGGGAGGCAGCAGUGGGGAAUAUUGCACAAUGGGCGCAAUCCUGCUGCAGCCAUGCCGCGUGUGUGAAGAAGGCCUUCGGGUUGUAAAGCACUUUCAGCGAGGAGGCGUUACUCGCAGAAGAAGCACCGGCUAACUCCGUGCCAGCAGCCGCGGUAAUAC
rnacentral:rRNA from 1 species